AAAAGAUAUAUUAUAAUUAUCACACGUAUUUUUUUAUUUACUACCGAGUACGUUAUUAUUUAGAUAAGUUAUAAUAGUGUAGUAAUCACAAAUUUUCCUAAAAAUUACGUUUGUUAUCUAAAUAAAGUGUGGAUAAGUGUAAUUAAUGUGCUGGUUAAGUGGAUAUUUAUUCAUAUAUUAUGUGUUUGGUUGCAUAUAUAAACAGAUUUUAAUUAUUUCAGUUGGUAGAAGAUAGUUUGCGUUUCGACUUAACAUGAAGAUCGCUGCGUAUUUAUUAUUGUUUUGUUUGGUACUUACUGUUAUCUAUGCUGCACCUAAUAUAUCUGGUUCUUAUCAAAAUAUGACGUGCGCGGAAUCCCACAACGAUUGUUUUCCAAAAUCGUCUUGUAAUCCACGCUUGGUUUUAGGUCAAAAAGAAUGCAAGGAUGGUGAAGUCUGCUGUCUUUUAUUGUUAUAAAAUAUUUUAUGAACAUUAUAUGCAAUAAAAAUUAGCGAAAAA